rnacentral:rRNA from 1 species
GUGUCAGCCGCCGCGGUAAUACGUAGGGUGCGAGCGUUGUCCGGAAUCACUGGGUGUAAAGGGAGCGCAGGCUGGUCAGAAAGUCGUUGGUGAAAUCCGGAGGCUCAACCUCAGGACUGCCAAUGAUACUGCUGAUCUUGAGUACAGAAGAGGAAGACGGAAUUCCUGGUGUAGCGGUGAAAUGCGUAGAUAUCAGGAAGAACACCGGUGGCGAAGGCGGUCUUCUGGUCUGUAACUGACGCUCAUGCUCGAAAGCGUGGGGAGCAAACAGGAUUAGAAACCCCGGUAGUCC